GGCGGAAGGGCGAGUAAUGUAUGGAUAACGUACCCCAGGCACCGGGAUAGCAGCGGGAAACUGUUGGUAAUACCGGAUGAUGUUCCAAACCCCUUGGGGCUUGGAAUCAAAGGAUGGCCUCUACUUGUAAGCUAUCGGCGUGGGAGCGGUCCAUAUCCUAUCAGCUAGUUGGCGGGGUAACGCCCCACCAAGGCAACGACGGGUAGCGGGACUGAGAGGUUGACCCGCCGCAUUGGGACUGAGACACUGCCCAGACUCCUACGGGAGGCUGCAGUAACGAAUAUUGGACAAUGAGCGAAAGCUUGAUCCAGCGACGCCGCGUGCAGGAAGAAGUCCUUCGGGAUGUAAACUGCUGUCAGGGACCACCAAGCAAGGAAGGUUAAUACCCUUCUGCGUUGAGGACUCCCAGAGGAAGCCACGGCUAACUUCGUGCCAGCAACCGCGGUAAUACGAAGGUGGCGAGCGUUGUUCGGAAUCACUGGGCUUAAAGCGUGUGUAGGCGGACUGUCAAGCGUUUUGUGAAAGCCCUCGGCUUAACCGGGGAAUUGCUUGACGAACUGAUAGUCUUGAGGCAGGUAGGGGCAACUGGAACUCUUGGUGGAGCGGUGGAAUGCGUAGAUAUCAAGAGGAACGCCAGAGGCGAAGGCGAGUUGCUGGGCCUGUCCUGACGCUGAGACACGAAAGCCAGGGGAGCGAACGGGAUUAGAUACCCCGGUAGUCCUGGCCCUAAACGAUGUCCACUAGAUCGGAGGCACUCUGACGUGUUUCUGGUCGAAAUGAACGUAAUGGCCGCUGGGAGUACGUCGCAAGGCUAACUCAAAGGAUGACGGGGGUCACCACGUGGAGCAGUGCUUAUUCGAUGCACGCGAAGACUUAUCUAGGCUUGACAUAUACGAUGCUACUGGGAAACCAGUCGCUGCCUUCGGGGUGAAACGUAUACAGGUGCUGAUGCUGUCGUCAGCUCGUGUCGUGAGAUGUUGGUUAAGUCCCGUAACGAGCGAACCCUGUCGUUAGUUGCCAGCGCGUAAUGGCGGGGCUCUAACGAGACUGCCGGUGUUAAACCGGAGGAAGGUGGGGAUGACGUCAAGUCCUCAUGGCCUUUAUGCCUAGGGCUGCAGACGUGCUACAAUGGCCGGUACAAAACGAAGCGAGACCGCGAGGUGGAGCAAAUCGUAAAAAACCGGCCCCAGUUCGGAUUGGAGUCUGCAACUCGACUCCAUGAAGUUGGAAUCGCUAGUAAUCGCGUAUCAGCGUGACGCGGUGAAUGUGUUCCUGAGCCUUGUACCCACCGCCCGUCAAGUCAUGGAAGCCGGGAGCACC
rnacentral:rRNA from 1 species